CCUACGGGGGGCAGCAGUGGGGAAUAUUGGACAAUGGGGGGAACCCUGAUCCAGCGACGCCGCGUGAGUGAAGAAGUAUUUCGGUAUGUAAAGCUCUAUCGGCAGGGAAGAAAGAAAUGACGGUACCUGACUAAGAAGCCCCGGCUAACUACGUGCCAGCAGCCGCGGUAAUACGUAGGGGGCAAGCGUUAUCCGGAUUUACUGGGUGUAAAGGGAGCGUAGACGGCGAUGCAAGUCUGAAGUGAAAGGCGGGGGCCCAACCCCCGGACUGCUUGGGAAACUGUAUGGCUGGAGUGCAGGGGAGGUAAGUGGAAUUCCUAGGGUAGCGGUGAAAUGCGUAGAUAUUAGGAGGAACACCAGUGGCGAAGGCGGCUUACUGGACUGUAACUGACGUUGAGGCUCGAAAGCGUGGGGAGCAAACAGGAUUAGAUACCCCAGUAGUC
rnacentral:rRNA from 1 species